rnacentral:rRNA from 1 species
UACGUAGGCAGCGAGCGUUGUUCGGAAUUACUGGGCGUAAAGAGUGUGUAGGCGGUGCUCCCAGUCUGUUGUGAAAUCUCCCGGCUUAACUGGGAGGGUGCAGCGGAAACUAGAGUGCUAGAGGGUGGGAGAGGUAAGCGGAAUUCCUGGUGUAGCGGUGAAAUGCGUAGAUAUCAGGAGGAACACCAAUGGCGAAGGCAGCUCGCUGGGACGGUACUGACGCUGAGACGCGAAAGCGUGGGGAGCAAACAGG